CCUGGGUGCCAGAGGGAAGCCGGUGCUGGCAGCCGGGGGAAGGAAGGCCUACUUUUGCAUGAAUUUCAUGCAUUGAGCCUCUAGUAAUAUAAUAUUUACCAAAAGGGUAAAAAUUUCAUGGUUCCCAAUUGCCUCUGAAAGACAGCCCCAAUUUUUCACUGGACAUUUGUCCACCUAAAAUAAAUGCUAGGUUAUCCUGGGUCCCUUGCAGCUAACUACGGCCAUGUGACUAAGUUCCGGCCAGCUGAUGACAAACAACAGCAGUAUAGACAGUUUCUGUGAUGCGUCCUGUUCUUUGCCCCCUCCUGCUUCCUGCUGGAGCUCCAGGAGCCAUGACGAUUUCGGAAUGGAGGCCAUACAGGGCAGAGCAACAAGAUAGAAGGGGCCUGGGUUUCUAUGACCACACCAUGCCCUGAAUUGGCUCCUUUAGACUUAGAGAAAUGAGGGAGACAUUCACUUCAUCUUUAAAAAAAAAAACACACAACCCAACACAUUGUUAUUUGGGGAACCGUUGAAUGAGACAGAUUUAAAUCCAACUUAUUCACUGGCAUAUGUCAGAAAUCAUAGCAGAGGCAUGCGACUAAGUGGAUGUGGGGAACACUGGCCUGCCAUGCCCGAGGGAGAAGAAAGGAGAGGGACGGGGAGGGAGCAGAGCCGGUUCCUUUCUCAGGAGCGAGAGGGGUGGGAUGCGUGCAAGGCCCUACUUUACCAUCUGGGAAGCUCCACACAAGAAUGCAAGAUAGAGUUCAAGGGAGCAACUGCUCAUUAAGGAUCCAUCGCUGUGACUCACCCACGCAGGCUGUUAGGCACAGUCCUGGCCCUGCAGUUGCCUGCAGUCCCGUGGGGAUCCUGGCAGGUACCCAUGGAGCUCUACUAACGAUGGCGCCCACUGUUGACUGAGCCAGGCCCGAUGCGGCCCCUCGCUGCAUCCCCAGAUCACCAACCAGGUGAUGUGAGCGUCUCUGGUGCCAUUCCCAGCUUCCAGAGGAAGAAGCUGAAACGUGAAGAGGUCAUGCAAGUCUCCAAAAUCACCCAGGUAGACAGGCUGUUUGGCUCAGCUGCCGGAGCCCGGGCAGAUGAUAAACCGCUGCCUCCUAGGUGGAAGCAGAGGAAAGCGAGAUGAAAACCCUGGCGCGCUGAACAAGUGAGCCUUUGAGCCGGGGCCGGAAGGUUCUGCAAGGUGAAGUGGGACACAAGAGGAGCUGCAAGUGGGUGGCACAGCGUGAACGAAGGGACGGAGCCGGGAAAACACCAGGCUGGCUUGAGAAGCCACGAGUGGAGGAGUCUAGCUGGACUGUGGGAGGUGGCUGAUGAGGGUUUAUUUUCUUUCUGUGCUCGAUGUCACUCUGUUGUUGGACGUGCUAUUGUUCUGGAGCUGGCGAGGGGAGGGGAGGGGAGCAGGAGGCAGGAACCACAUUGUGAGUGAACUUGAACUUGGCAGCGGGAGCCUCGGGAGGUAAGCUUCCCGUCUGUCUGUCUGUCCUGCAGGGCUCCCUCCCUGUCACCAGUUCUCCCGUGGCCACAGCUGAACUCUUCCUGUGCCCUGAUGGCACCGUGAGUGGACACAACAUGGCCUCGUCUUUUGUGUAUGCUCACCUGAUUGGAAAGGGACGUGUGAUCUUAUUUUCCCAUUCUGUGAAUUACAGCUCGGAAAGGAUUUUAUUGUGCCCCCCGAUGACAUCACUUUGGAAAUAUCAUUCAAUUGGGCGGCCUGCUUUCCUCUGGGCGAUGGUGAAUUUUCAACCACGUAGAGAAAGGAAAGGACUGCCAACCUCACAGCCUUCGACAUGAUGUGGAAUGAAUAUCAGUCUAUUCAAACAGAGCUGUGACCAGAAGGGGAAAAAAAACAACACAGAACUUCGCCCGCUUUGCACAGAAAAUGCAUUUUCCAGUCGCUUUUGGACAGAGGCCCUCCGCGAAUAUGUUUAAAGUCGUGUACAACAGGAAUAUGCUAUCACACGUAACCAUGUUUUAAUAAACACUUCAUCUUUUUGUAGCGCUCUCCUUUCAUCACAAUAAUAGAAAUAGAACACCAUAUAUCACUGUAAAACACAUUUCCACAUAAAUGCUGAUAAGCACAAAAUAUUUUUCAUCAUUUACAUUUUCGCCGUAAUAAUAUAUGGCAGGAUUAAAGCUGCAUCCAUCAUGUGUCUAACUAA